rnacentral:rRNA from 1 species
CAGCAGCCGCGGUAAUACGAAGGGGGCUAGCGUUGUUCGGAUUUACUGGGCGUAAAGCGCACGUAGGCGGAUCCUUAAGUCAGAGGUGAAAUCCCAAGGCUCAACCUUGGAACUGCCUUUGAUACUGGGGAUCUCGAGUCCGGGAGAGGUGAGUGGAACUGCGAGUGCAGAGGUGAAAUUCGUAGAUAUUCGCAAGAACACCAGUGGCGAAGGCGGCUCACUGGCCCGGUACUGACGCUGAGGUGCGAAAGCGUGGGGAGCAAACAGGAUUAGAUACCCCGGUAGUCCCUGUCUCUUAUAC